CGGUGGACGUGUGCUUGAUGCAUAUAGGAGUUCUUUGACUCCUAAGGUUGUGCAAGCACUUAUUUGUGCUCAAGAUUGGUUACGUGGAAAGGCACGUGGUGAUCUGGAUUUGAUUGAAGAUGAUCUGGAUGAGCUUGAUAAACUUGAUUUUGUUGGCUACUAUUGCGUUGGAGACAAUAGCUGAGUCUGAGCCUGAGUCAGAUUAACAUUUUCAGGAGCAUGUUCUGCAAAAUCAUUAAAAUUUGAAGUUGGAGC